AAGUUGUUAAAUUUUGACAAUCUCUGUUAUACAUACUUACAACAACUGAAGGAAAAGAG
rnacentral:tRNA from 1 species